CGGAGGGUGCAAGCGUUAAUCGGAAUUACUGGGCGUAAAGGGUUCGUAGGUGGUUUAUUAAGUUAUUUGUAAAAUCCCUGGGCUUAACCUGGGCAGGUCAGAUAAUACUGGUAGACUCGAGUAUGGGAGAGGGUAGUGGAAUUUCCGGUGUAGCGGUGAAAUGCGUAGAGAUCGGAAGGAACACCAGUGGCGAAGGCGGCUACCUGGCCUAAUACUGACACUGAGGAACGAAAGCGUGGGGAGCAAACAGGAUUAGAUACCCUGGUAGUCCACGCCGUAAACGAUGUCAACUAGCUGUUGGUCAUACUGAUAUGAUUAGUAGCGCAGCAAACGCGAUAAGUUGACCGCCUGGGGAGUACGGUCGCAAGAUUA
rnacentral:rRNA from 1 species